AGCUGAUGCACGCGAUGGUUUCCUCCCAUUCCAUCGUAUCAGCUGUUCCCCUCCGAAGGUUUUGACCUUCACACCUAAAGGGCUUCGGUUUUCCGAUGGCCCUGUUUU
rnacentral:sRNA from 19 species